UUAUGAAAUGUUAAUUUUCUCUUUGAUCUUGCAGCACUUUUGGAUAAAUAUAUUUGGAACAGAAGACCAUGUGUAAAAAAAGAUGAUUCAAACAGCAUAAUGAAAGCACAUCAACACUUCUUUCUAAAGAGAAAUUGAAUAAACAGCAGAAACCAGAAGAAAAGCUUGACUCAGACAUGAACACUACCACUCUACUUGAGGAUACCAGAAAGGAUCAGCAAGUUUAUGGAGGAGAAAAUGUGAAACAUGAAGAUGACUUACUGAGUCAAGCAACACUCAGCAACUGGCGAGUAGAAGUUAUCAGAACAAGCAACACAGGCACUUUAAAUCAUGUCACAAUGAGAAAAGUCCCCUCCUCCGCUUCUCUAAAAGAGGAAAACAUUCAUUAAUAAUGAAUCAGGACUCCUGGUGUCAACACCACAAACCCCUUUAAUGCAUACCUUACAGUAAUUGUAACCAGGCCUAACCAUGUGUCAUUAUUGAACAUUUACAGAUGAUUAUUGAUUAUGUGAGCAGUAAAGAUGAUGACAUUACUGUACAUGGUGUCCCAUACAUUUCCAUACACAGGAAAAAUUUAUCUUUUUUUAUCUAAAAAAUAAUGUUGUCAUGGUAACCAUUUGGAAAUC